GGGGCUGUGGCUCAGUGGCAGAGCACUUGCCUAGCAUGAGAGAGGCCCUGGGUUUAAUCCUCAGCACCACA
rnacentral:tRNA from 1 species